UACAGAGGUGGCAAGCGUUGUUCGGAAUUACUGGGCGUAAAGGGCGCGUAGGCGGCCUUGUAAGUCCUGUGUGAAAUCCCCCGGCUCAACUGGGGAACUGCACGGGAGACUGCUUGGCUUGAGUUCGGGAGAGGGAAGCGGAAUUCCGGGUGUAGCGGUGAAAUGCGUAGAUAUCGGGAGGAACACCAGUGGCGAAGGCGACUUCCUGGCCUGUUCUUGACGCUGAGGCGCGAAAGCUAGGGGAGCAAACGGG
rnacentral:rRNA from 1 species